UAAUCUCUCCUUACUUAAAAUAUACUAGCACCUGGUAGGAGCUGCCAGAGAACAACGUUGCACAAAGCCACAGCAGAAGAGGGCUCCUUGCCCAGGCCCCCAGAUGUGCUGUUCUUUUUCUACUCUCAGGUGGAGACUUAGAGCUUGAACCCAGAACCUUUCUCAUAGAAAUAUGUGCACUUUACCAGGUG